GAAAGUAAACAAGGGCGCAUGGAGGAUGCCUAGGCUCUCGGAGGCGAAGAAGGACGUGAUAAGCUGCGAAAAGUUACGGUAAGGCGCAAAUAGCCCUAGACCCGUAAAUAUCCGAAUGGGGCAACCCGGCCAGCAAUGGCCAUACCGCCAAGCGGUAAGCCAACGCGGGGAACUGAAACAUCUAAGUACCCGCAGGAAAAGAAAAUAACAAUGAUUCCGCCAGUAGUGGCGAGCGAACGCGGAACAGCCCAAACCACCCGUGUUACGGCACGAGUGGGGUAGAAGGAUCCACGCUACGGCAAGAAAUAAGUUAGCAGAAUACGAUGGAAAUCGUAGCCAGAGACGGUGACAGCCCGGUACGCGAAAACGGACAGAAGCCCAGUGGACACCUGAGUAACCCAGGACACGAGAAAUCCGGGGCGAAUCAGCGGGGCCCAUCCCGUAAGGCUAAAUACUCCCGAGAGACCGAUAGCGAACCAGUACUGUGAAGGAAAGGUGAAAAGAACCUCGAACAGAGGAGUGAAACAGACCCUGAAACCAUGCGCCUACAAGCGGUCGGAGCAUGUUAAAAUGUGACGGCGUGCCUUUUGCAUAAUGAACCUACGAGUUACUCUCGCUGGCAAGGUUAAGCGAUUCAGUCGCGCAGCCGAAGCGAAAGCAAGUCCGAACAAGGCGUACAGUCAGCGGGAGUAGACGCGAAACCAAGUGAUCUACCCUUGGUCAGGUUGAAGGUUGGGUAACACCAACUGGAGGACCGCACCGAUAAGCGUUGAAAAGCUUACGGAUGAACUGAGGGUAGGAGUGAAAGGCCAAUCAAACUUGGAGAUAGCUCGUACUCCCCGAAAUGCAUUUAGGUGCAGCCUCGAAGCAGAGUGAUAGAGGUAGAGCGACUGAUAAGAUGCGAGGGCUUCACCGCCUAUCAAGUCUUGACAAACUCCGAAUACUAUCACUUGAUCUUUGGGAGUGAGGGCAUGGGUGCUAAGGUCCAUGUCCGAAAGAGGAACAACUCAGACCACCGGCUAAGGUCCCGAAAUAAGGGCUAAGUUGAACAAACGAAGUAAAACUGCAAAGACAGCUAGGAUGUUGGCUUGGAAGCAGCCAUUCAUUUAAAGAGUGCGUAACAGCUCACUAGUCGAGGAGUUUUGCAUGGAUAAUAAUCGGGCAUAAGCCCUUUACCGAAGCUGUGGAUGUCGUAAGACAUGGUAGGGGAGCAUUCCGGCGGCGACGAAGGCCGUCCUCGAGGACGACUGGAGCUUUCGGAAAAGCAAAUGUAGGUAUAAGUAACGAUAAAGGGGGCGCGAAACCCCCUCGCCAUAAGACUAAGGAUUCCUGAUCAACGCUAAUCGGAUCAGGGUAAGUCGGGCCCUAAGGCGCAGCCGAACGGCGCAGCCGAUGGAAGAAACGGUAAAAAUUCCGUUACUGGAUAUAGGAGCGAUGUGGAGACGGAGAAGUGACACACCCGCCUGCCGACGGAAGCGCAGGUUAAAGGAAGUAGGUAAACGCCGGGCAGGCAAAUCCGCCUGGCGUGCCGAAGCUGACAGUAUCGAGAGCCCCCGGGCAAUCGAAUAGCGGUGGUAAUCAGGCUCCCAAGAAAAUCCGCUAAGCAUAUUCUAUAUUCACCCGUACCCCAAACGGACACACGUAGUCGGGUAGAAUAUACCAAGGCGCUCGAAAGACUCACGGUUAAGGAACUAGGCAAAUUGACCCUGUAACCUCGGGAAAAAGGGUCCCCAGUAAGAUGGGGCGCAGAGAAUAGGUCCAGGCAACUGUUUAACAAAAACACAGGGCUGUGCAAAAUUUCAAGAUGAAGUAUACAGCCUGACACCUGCCCGGUGCCGGAAGGUUAAGAGGAGAGCUUAUCGCAAGAGAAGGCUUGAAUUGAAGCCCCGGUAAACGGCGGCCGUAACUAUAACGGUCCUAAGGUAGCGAAAUUCCUUGUCGGGUAAGUUCCGACCUGC
rnacentral:rRNA from 1 species